rnacentral:misc_RNA from 1 species
GGAAAAUCCGACCCUAUGUUAUAUUUGCAGAUGCCUCUUUCUUGCAUUGAUAUUAGGAUGCUGUCAGUACUUCCAUGGUUCAUUUUCUCACACUGAAUUUAAUUUUCAGUUUUAAGAAUUGAAUCCAAUUCCAGCUUGCUGCAGUUUGGAUGAAACAAUUACUUGAAUAGACCAGGUGUUUCGAGCAACCUAAAGAAAGAUGGUGGUAUUCUACACCUCUGUUUCAUUUGACUGGUGCCACUUUUUUGAAUCCUUAGCUGGUUCUUUAUAAAAUUUUUGAACUCAACUUAAAAUUACAAACCUAAAGCGAUUCUGGUGGCCACGGGGCUGCUAUUAGUGUACUAUUUUUUUGGAUUCUAGACGUGAUUGAGAAACAAUUAGCUCAGAAUUAUUUUGACUCUUCCACUUGCUUCUUUGCUAAAUCCAGAACGAUUUAUUUCUAUUGCACAAAACUAAGUGCUUGAUAUUAAAUACAUGACUUCUUCUCUCUUACUCUCAAUAAUUUAUUUCUUCAAAAACUAUCAAAGAGUCAUUUAUCUUCCAAACAAAAUUAUUGUCUUUGCUUUUACAGUUCAAUCAAACCAAGUACUUCUCCAACUUCUCCACUUCCUCCUGGCUCCCAAUGUAAAGUGGAACACGUUGAUGUAUCUCAACUGGUUGGAUAUCAAGUAUUCUCUGAUGGCCAUCUGAUCCUUUUCCACCAGCUUGUUCCGCUAUAAAGCUCAUAGGUGCACACUCAUACAAGAGCCUUAGCUUCCCAUUCUUGCUCUUCUUGUCUCUAGGAUACCCAUAAAUGCCACCAUAUAGCAGAGUCCGGUGGAAGUCACCAACCAAACUACCAAUAUAUCGUGCAGAGUAGGGCUUGCCACUAGGGCCAGGGUCUUUAAGGUCGUCAAUGUACUUCUUCAACUUAUCAUCCCACAAUUGGUAGUUUCCUUCAUUAAAUGAAUAGAUUUUUCCAGCCUUGGGUAUCUGGAUGUUUUGUUGAGUUAAAACAAAUUCCCCAUACAUUGGAUCCAAGGUGAAGGCAAACACGCCUGUUCCAAUAGUGAUGACAAAAAUUACCGAGCUUGAAUACAUGCAGUAGCCAGCAGCAAGAAGGUUGCUUCCUGGCUGGCACACAUUCACAAUACAUCUCUGUUCUGCAUUGUCAAGCUGCAAUUUACCAAAUUAUCACACAGUUGGAUAUUAGCUAUAUUCUUAUGAUUUUAUCUUCUUUUUUGUUUGAUAACAAUCACAAUGAAACACUAUAAUAAUUGCCCAUGAAUUUUCUCUUACAGUGUUGUCGUCACCAAUAUCAGCUAAGCACUCAUCAUUUGGGCUAUAUAUGCCAAAGAUGGAUCCAGUGGACACAGCAGCAUCAAUGUUGGAUGAUCCAUCAAGUGGGUCAAAAACGACUAUAUAGUUUCCAGAGUAACUUUCUUCCACUGCCACUGGUACGUCCUCUUCUUCUGAUGCUAUGAUCCCUGUCCGCCCACUUGAUCUCAAGCAGUUAGAGAACACCUAUAAGUGCAAAUUGCAAAAUAAACAAUUUAAAUAAAAUAAUUGUGCCUGAUGAUUAAAACAGAAAAGAUGUUCUAUUCAAGAAUGAGAUGGUAGGAAGCCUAAGACUGGGUCAUCAUAUGGUGCAUAUUAGAAUGGAAUAUUAUUUUUGAAAUACAAGUCAGGAAUUAACAAUAAUGAAUUGAUUUUUGAGAUUAUGGAAGUUGCUGAAAGAGCACAGGGUGAUGGCUUAGCAUACUUACAGUUUACAAAUAAAUAAUUCCAACUUUGCUAGCAUUCACACUUAAUGUAUAACAAAAAGAUGCUGCAAAUUCAGAUAAUUUUGAGAUCAUCUUCAUAACUUCAAUUUUCAUAUAUUAAAAUUUAGGAACACGUGGUUUAUGAAAGUAGGAAUAAUGUUCUAUUUGUAUACCUCAUUAGAGACGACGUCAAGCUUCUUCUGGUCCUCCCCUUGAACGUUAACAGCACCCUGAACACCAGUUAAAUUGGAAAUGCUGGCUCUCUGCACCAAAGAAGCAAUCUGCUUACAUGCCAUUGAAAUGCUAGAAAGCACAAUAGUAAGUUCAGCAUCAAUAACACCGGCUUGUUCCUGCUUCAACAGCCAACCUGUGAGCGUUUGAAUCCCGAACGUAUUCUUCUUUUUUAUCUCUGCCUCUGAGGCUGUACCCACAGCCAUGCACUUGACGGCACCAGCACCAUGUUUUUUCUUACUGCUAUUAUUGCUGGGGAAUGAGACUAGCGUUUUGGUGUCAAAGACACAUAAUUGGAAAGGAGAGAGGCGAGAAAGAGAUUGUGAACUUGAGAAGAGGAGGUGAGAUGAUGGUUUUGUCACAGCAACCAUGGCUAUGGCUCGAGCUUCUUAUGAUUCACUGCUUUUUUCAGCCUCCUCCGCCUUGUUUUUGAUAUUUUAGUUUGUUCAGCUU